CUCAGGGCUCAGCAGAAUCUUCUUUUCCUGGGAGUCUUCAUUCACAUGCUUCCACUCUGCGUACAGCUCCAGGCCAGAGCGUCUGAUGCGCGGCUGGUAGCGCCCGCAGCCUCCGUGUCCCUGCGGAGGUCGCCAAGGCAGAAGACCUACAAGCUCAUCAGGGCUGAUGAUGCCGAACUGAACUCUCUUGAUCGUGCGCAAGGGGCAUGCGCUGUCGCCGGAGGGCGGUCCGUGCAUCCUGUCUAUUCAAAAGACGCGUUCGUCGUCGACACGUCGCUUUGUGAGCAGGAACAAGCCUCUGGUUGAAAGCCUCGGACUCGCCUGAUUUCCAAGGCCCGUCGGCACAUUGGGAAGCCGGCAUGCCGAGUAGGAAAAUCCGGGGAAGCCUUCGGUCUUUGCUAAUUGUUCUCAACUCGUUGUCUUUUGACUGCUAACGUUGAAAUGUCAUUUAUUUUUUUUAUUUUCUUUACGCCGCCCUAAACUGUUAGCGGCAUACUUUUUAACGGUUCUAAAACGAUUGGUCGUAGGCCCACGUCUUUAAGCUGGUUCUCAAUGAUGAUGUUUACUGUCGGCCAGCAAAAUGUAAUUUUUUUUUUUAUUAUUAUUUCAAAGUUGUAAUCACUUUGCUGGAAUUCUGUUAACAUGUCAGUAUUGUGUAACACUUAAGUAACUGAUAUGUUUAAAUACCUGUUAAGAAUGCGAGUGUACAACUACGAUUGCGCCUCAAAUGUUGUUUUUGGCCACAAAGGCUUUUAUUCGAUGAUCGCUUUCAUUGCGGAAAAAAAAGUGUUUUGUCGUUAACGUUCUCCUUUGAGCUUUCCACUUCACGAUUAGCGUCGCACCUCUUUCACUUAAUAAUUGUCCUUAUUCAUCUGGAUUCGCAUUUACGUUCUCGUGGCUGUAUAAAGUCGUCAUAAAACGAUAAAAGGACGACGUUAUUUUCAUUUAUUCAUUUUUUUUUAACCAAGAGACUUGAGGGACUUCGACGAGACUUUUCCUUAGCUUAGCUGUGGGUACAACAUGGCGGAGUUAGCCAACGGACGAAAGGGAAAAUGGUGCCCGGGGAUAAUGUCGUCGUUUGGGUCCCGGUUAAAAAGCUGCGCACUUGAACGAGACUAACUCGGAACGACUUACUUCAACUAUAUACUAAGAAUAUGUCGAGCUGGGUGACCAAUGACCACUCUCGUGGGCCUUUUAUUUUAGACGAUCUUAAACCUGAAGCCACUUUGCUAGCUAACUGUUGUUAUUGCAUAUUUGCCAUUUGUGGUAAGACGUGCUUGUUAACGCUGUACUGACGCUAAUAAAUAUCGCGUGGACUCAACGCAGGUAUGCAUCGAAAACUUUGCAUUUAAUUGGAUUACCGCCGAAGAGAACUCACUUGUACAUUGUAGCACAUUUCCCACCACAUUUAUUAAAAUCAAAGAACAAAAAAAAGGGAAAUAUAUCUGGAAGCCGUUUCAAAAAGGAAGUCUAAACGUCCAAAAUUAACAUUUCUUGGAAAUGCGCUCUCCUCCAGCAUUCCUCAAAGCUCUCAAGAACACUGAUGGAAGUCACCACACAAAUCCACAAAAGAUUUGAGACCAACUCCUAAUUCAUCCCACUAUCAAGCAAGGGAUAGGAUUUCAAAAUAAGGUUUUAAGAUGAAACGGGCGUUAUUAUAAAUGUAUGUUUUCUGGACUGGAAGAGAGUUUAAAGCCUCAGUUGAAGUUGCUAGCCAGGGUUUGGGGUGUCAAUUUGGGGUUAGAGGUACAAGUGGAGUGCUGAUUCCCUGGUGGAGACCGUAAAUGUCAAAUUCCCUCCCUUAAAAAUUCAAAAUAACGUUCACCCAAUACGUGUCACAUACUGUCAGCUUUUGAAGAAAAGUCGAUUGUGAAUGUUUUGGUUUACUUCCAGCAAAGAUAAAAUACGGCGAAUGAAGUGUGGCAAACAUUUGUCUAGAAAUAGUCUUGUUGAACGACAACAGUUGUCAGUUUUUACUCAUUUUCUGUUUGAAUAAAGACACUUGAACCAGCAUCACUUUGUUGUAUUCU